rnacentral:rRNA from 1 species
AGAGUUUGAUCCUGGCUCAGGACGAACGCUGGCGGCGUGCCUAAUACAUGCAAGUCGAACGCUUCUUUUUCCACCGGAGCUUGCUCCACCGGAAAAAGAGGAGUGGCGAACGGGUGAGUAACACGUGGGUAACCUGCCCAUCAGAAGGGGAUAACACUUGGAAACAGGUGCUAAUACCGCAUAACAAUCGAAACCGCAUGGUUUUGAUUUGAAAGGCGCUUUCGGGUGUCGCUGAUGGAUGGACCCGCGGUGCAUUAGCUAGUUGGUGAGGUAACGGCUCACCAAGGCCACGAUGCAUAGCCGACCUGAGAGGGUGAUCGGCCACAUUGGGACUGAGACACGGCCCAAACUCCUACGGGAGGCAGCAGUAGGGAAUCUUCGGCAAUGGACGAAAGUCUGACCGAGCAACGCCGCGUGAGUGAAGAAGGUUUUCGGAUCGUAAAACUCUGUUGUUAGAGAAGAACAAGGAUGAGAGUAACUGUUCAUCCCUUGACGGUAUCUAACCAGAAAGCCACGGCUAACUACGUGCCAGCAGCCGCGGUAAUACGUAGGUGGCAAGCGUUGUCCGGAUUUAUUGGGCGUAAAGCGAGCGCAGGCGGUUUCUUAAGUCUGAUGUGAAAGCCCCCGGCUCAACCGGGGAGGGUCAUUGGAAACUGGGAGACUUGAGUGCAGAAGAGGAGAGUGGAAUUCCAUGUGUAGCGGUGAAAUGCGUAGAUAUAUGGAGGAACACCAGUGGCGAAGGCGGCUCUCUGGUCUGUAACUGACGCUGAGGCUCGAAAGCGUGGGGAGCAAACAGGAUUAGAUACCCUGGUAGUCCACGCCGUAAACGAUGAGUGCUAAGUGUUGGAGGGUUUCCGCCCUUCAGUGCUGCAGCUAACGCAUUAAGCACUCCGCCUGGGGAGUACGACCGCAAGGUUGAAACUCAAAGGAAUUGACGGGGGCCCGCACAAGCGGUGGAGCAUGUGGUUUAAUUCGAAGCAACGCGAAGAACCUUACCAGGUCUUGACAUCCUUUGACCACUCUAGAGAUAGAGCUUCCCCUUCGGGGGCAAAGUGACAGGUGGUGCAUGGUUGUCGUCAGCUCGUGUCGUGAGAUGUUGGGUUAAGUCCCGCAACGAGCGCAACCCUUAUUGUUAGUUGCCAUCAUUCAGUUGGGCACUCUAGCAAGACUGCCGGUGACAAACCGGAGGAAGGUGGGGAUGACGUCAAAUCAUCAUGCCCCUUAUGACCUGGGCUACACACGUGCUACAAUGGGAAGUACAACGAGUCGCGAAGUCGCGAGGCUAAGCUAAUCUCUUAAAGCUUCUCUCAGUUCGGAUUGCAGGCUGCAACUCGCCUGCAUGAAGCCGGAAUCGCUAGUAAUCGCGGAUCAGCACGCCGCGGUGAAUACGUUCCCGGGCCUUGUACACACCGCCCGUCACACCACGAGAGUUUGUAACACCCGAAGUCGGUGAGGUAACCUUUUGGAGCCAGCCGCCUAAGGUGGGAUAGAUGAUUGGGGUGAAGUCGUAACAAGGUAGCCGUAUCGGAAGGUGCGGCUGGAUCACCU